GCCAGCCCGCUCAGAAACUCAAAUGAAUUGACGGGGCCCGGCACAAGCGGAGGAGCAUGUGGUUUAAUUCGAUGAUACGCGAGGAACCUUACCUGGGCUCGAACGUAAGAUGACUGUAGGUGAAAGCUUACAUCUCUUCGGAGCAUUUUACGAGGUGCUGCAUGGUUGUCGUCAGCUCGUGCCGUGAGGUGUCGGGUUAAGUCCCAUAACGAGCGCAACCCCUACCUUUAGUUGCCAUCAGGUUAAGCUGGGGACUCUAAAGGAACUGCCUACGCAAGUAGUGAGGAAGGCGGGGAUGACGUCAAAUCAGCACGGCCCUUACGUCCAGGGCUACACACGUGCUACAAUGGCCGAUACAGAGGGCAGCUACCUGGUGACAGGAUGCAAAUCUCCAAAGUCGGUCUCAGUUCGGAUCGGAGUCUGCAACCCGACUCCGUGAAGUUGGAUUCGCUAGUAAUCGCGCAUCAGCCAUGGCGCGGUGAAUACGUUCCCGGGCCUU
rnacentral:rRNA from 1 species